UGGCUGCUGUCCCCCGCUCUCCCCACGACCCGCAACCCUCGGCCCGGACCGGCGCACGAAUUAUGCCGCCGCUGCUGUUUGAGGGCACCGUCUGGCCAGGGAUGGGACCCCCAGGACGAGGCCCUCUUCGGCCUCCGAGGCCUGCCUGCUCCCCUCAAAAGCCCUGUGCCAACAGAGAGGGGCCCGUCCAGACCCAGGAUGGUGGGACAGAGAGAUUGAGACUGGGUGCCGAGGUCCAGAAGGCACGUGCCCCUGCCCAAAGGGUAAGGCAGGGGUGCCCGGAGACCUUGCCCGCCUGCAGCGUCGCGCAAACGGCCUCGCCUUGGCUUCCGAGCUUUCGCCGUUGCAAUGGAUGUUUACAGGAACCCAGCCAGAGUCUGCCUCCCUGCUCUUCACCCCUGACUGCAUCUGCUUCUCCCACUUAACCUUCGGAGCGGACACUUCACACACAAAAGCGACUCCCAGCUCUGUUUGAUGCCAGUGGAGCUCUAAGCCCAAAGGGGUUUGGCCCGAGGCCGGGCUUAGAUGCAGCAACUGUUUCAGAGAGUGACUCAGAAGGAAAAGAAGAACACCUGGGGGGCCGAGGGUGGGGUUUUGACUCAUUCAUUUCAAAUUGUUUGCUCUCCAUCAAGUUGCCAGAACUGAUACAUUGCAACGGGGACAGCGUUCCUCCAGCCAGAAAUAUUUUUCGAAAAUACCAAAAGCAGUGGGGACAGUUGUGCCCACCCCGCCUGGCUGAAGGGUGCAGUAGAUGCCUGGAUCAGAAGGAGACUGUCUUCCUGUGGCUGCACAAGUGGGAGUUCCGGGGACUCUACAAGGUCCACAAAUGCAGGCACACCCUGAGGGGUGAUGGCCCAGCUACAAGGCCUGAUGCCCUGAGCCACUGGACCAAGGCGGAAGGCACUACCUUUCUGCGAGGAUUGCCAGCGGGGCAGCGGGGUCAGAAUUCCUCUGACCCUCCCGACCCCCAACACCCACUUACUGGGAAGAGGAGGAGAGUUUGAGGAACCAGGCAUCAGGGCUGGCGCACUGGGGCACAGGCAGCUCCCACAGCCACCAGCAGAGGGCCAGGUCGUCCCAGAUCAGGGCUUCUGACCGAGCCAGCCGUGCCCCAGUGAAAAACAACAGCAGCUGACCUGGCAGCUCUCUGUGUAGACAGCAAAGCUGCCAAGUCCCUUCCAGGCUUGCCGUGGCCAGGGCUGGAUUCCAGCUCAGCUAAGAAACGACUCCCGGGGUAGAGCAGAGGAUCAGAGACAGAGGAAAACACUCUGCAAGGCUCACGGUGCUUCAGCCUUGCUGACCCCCAAAUAACGAAUUUUCCAAUGAAUGGUAGGAAGCCAUAGAGAAAAUCCUUUCCCGAAAGACAGGACUUGAGCCAAAGUGGACUCUGCUGUGUGUGUUGGGCUGAGGGGGCUGGGGAGGGCAAGAGAGCGCGGGCCCCCGUCAACUGGCCAUAGAAUAUGGCAGAAGUGAUGCUGUGUGACAGCUUCUAAGGCUGGGUUACAGAAAGGGCAGGGCUGUUCGCCAUGGCCUCGGUCUCCUCUGCCCCCACAACCUCUCUUCCUCUUGGGGUGAUCACCCUUCAACGCAGCCACCAUGCUGUGAGGAAGCCCAAACUAGCCCACAGGGAGCGUCCCCCCCUGCCACUUCCUUAGAGGAACCAAGCCCCCAGCCACUGGGCAGCAUCGGGUGCCAGACAUACGCGUGACUGAGCCUCCAGACAACCCCAGCUGACACUGAGUGGGGCAGAGACAAGCCGUCCCCGCCAAGCCCUGCCCGAAGGACAGGUGUGUGAGCAGAAUAAAUGUGUGUGCUGUUUUCA